GGGUAGGUAGCGAAGUGGUCAAACGCGACUGACUGUAAAUCAGUUGACUUAUGUCUUCGGAGGUUCGAAUCCUUCCCUACCCA
rnacentral:tRNA from 1 species